rnacentral:rRNA from 1 species
UACGUAGGGUGCAAGCGUUAAUCGGAAUUACUGGGCGUAAAGCGUGCGCAGGCGGUUCUAUAAGACAGAUGUGAAAUCCCCGGGCUCAACCUGGGAACUGCAUUUGUGACUGUAGAGCUGGAGUGCGGCAGAGGGGGAUGGAAUUCCGCGUGUAGCAGUGAAAUGCGUAGAGAUGCGGAGGAACACCGAUGGCGAAGGCAGCCCCCUGGGCCAACACUGACGCUCAGGCACGAAAGCGUGGGGAGCAAACAGG